rnacentral:rRNA from 1 species
AGCGAACGCUGGCGGCAGGCUUAACACAUGCAAGUCGAGCGCCCCGCCAGGGGAGCGGCAGACGGGAGUGUAACACGUGGGAAGAUACCGUUUUGUUCGGAACAACUGAGGGAGACUUCAGCUAAUACCGGAUAAGCCCUUACGGUGAAAGAUAUAUCGCCGAAAGAUUGGCGCGCGUCUGAUUAGCUAGUUGGUGAGGUAACGGCGCACCAAGGCGACGAUCGGUAGCUGGUCUGAGAGGAUGAUCAGCCUCACUGGGACUGAGACACGGCCCAGACUCCUACGGGAGGCAGCAGUGGGGAAUACAGGACAGUCGGGGCAACCCUGAUCCAGCCAUGCCGCGUGAGUGAUGAAGGCCUUAGGGUUGUAAGGCUCUUUUGCCCGGGAAGAUAAUGACGGUACCGGGAGAAUAAGCCCCGGCUAACUUCGUG